UCUUCCUGAAGCCUUGCUAUUGAGGAACAGUUUCAGUGCCCUCCAGGUGGAGGAGGAGCUGGGCAAGGCUUCAAGGGAGGCAACUGGGCUGAGAGACCCUGUGCCUAACAGGAACACCCAGAAGAAUCUGCAGGUGAUUUUGUGAGUGACUCCCUGCUGCAGGGUUGUUGGUGAUCCCCGACUAUCAUGAUCCCAGAUUAUCAUAAUGACUGAAAUGGAACACUCUCAAGAGCAAAUAGUGGUAAGAAAUUAUGUUCAAUCAGAAAUCUCUUCUUCAUGCAGGUAUUUAACUGAUCAGAUGACCUGAUAUUUGGAUUAACCCAGUAGUUCAAAAUUCCUUACUCAUAAUAUAAUGUA